GCCUGGUGUGGUGGUGUGUGCCUGUAGUUCCAACUACUCAGGAGACUAAGGCAGGAGGAUCACUGCAUCCAGGAGUUCUACGCUAUAGUGUGCUAUGCCAGUCAGGUGACUGUGCUAAGUUUGGCAUCAGUAUGGUUACCUCUUGGGAGCAGAGGACCACCAGGUUACGUAAGGAGGGGUGAACUGGCUCAGACUGGAAAUAGACCAGAUCAAAUAUCCAUGCUGAUUAGUAAUAGGAGGGUAUCUGUGAAUAACCACUCCAUUCCAGCCUGGGCAACAUAGCAAGACCCUGUGUCUA
ensembl:misc_RNA Metazoa_SRP Metazoan signal recognition particle RNA